AGCAGCAGUUGGAAAUGAUGUAGAAUCUGGGGAGAGACCUUUUAAAGAAAGGUGAUAUCAAGGCUUGUUUGUGGACUGAGAAUGAUGUGUGAUCUUGGAAGUCAGCUUGAGAAUGGAGCAGUCAAGACACAAAUUGGUUGGCAGGUCAUGAUCAGCAUGAGAGGAAUCUCUAUCCUGCUUCCAGGCUAUCCUUGGCACUGUGAUUUUUAAUAAAAUAAUGCACUGACUUUGCAUUCAAAGAAAUUACUGGACAGUCAAAAUAUACACACAUAUGCAAAAAUUGAGGAGCAAUUUCCCAUAAGAUACAAACCUUGGAAAUCAAGAAAGUUCUGGAAUGAUGAAGCUGUUCAUGCCAAGACCGAAAGUGCUGGCCCAGUAUGAGUCCAUUCAGUUCAUGCCGUGACAAUUUUCUUGGAACUCCUUUUUAUUGCUUGUGCUCCUGGUACAUCAGCCCAUUUCAUGGUACGUUGAAGCAUGCCUCCCUGUGGGAUUGCUGGAUUCCCAGCCCAGUGAGGUAAUGACCAAGCAGCGUCUUCAGAGGAAGGAUAGCUGUACAGCGUGGUGAAGGACUCAAUGAGAAGGUGCAUUGCCCAUCCUUCAGAGAGCUCUGUGUGAAUCCAUAAAAGGUGCUUAAAGCUUUUCACUCCAUGAAGCCUCAUCUGUCUCAUGAAAGCAAUAAAUAAGCUUCUCCAGCACCAGCCUUCCCCCAAACCAGAACAAGAGCAUUGAUCUACACCCAAGAGGAGCAGGAAUCAGCAGAAACACAAUGGAACAAACUGAUAUGCCAUCUAGUGGAAACACAGAAAGCCUCAAAUGAAAAUCUCAGCCAAAAUGAGGCCACUCAACCAGUGUCCAGUGAAUCAAGUUUCUGACAAAAGUCAGCUAAAU
rnacentral:lncRNA from 10 species